AUAUGUCCUGGGCAACUACAGAACCAACACCCACAAUUAUCAACGUGUUAUGAAAUAGAAAAAAAAAUCUCCAGUUGGUUAUAUACAGUAUAUAUAUAGAGCCUGCAAACUGAGCGAAGGAGAACUACAAGCACCGACAGACAGAGAUACGCAAGACUCAAAGUGACAAGAAGAGAAAAUGAAGAGCGUUCUGCUGCUUGUGGGGAUAGUUCUGUGUUUGGCUCUGGUGGAAGGCGGCUUAGUCAACAUGCUCUUACCAGGGCACUGUCAUUUACCAGAAGAGAAACAUGAGCCAUGUCCUUGUCAAACCGAACUUACCUGCGAGAAUCGAUACGCGUCCAUCGUAUGCGUUCGGAAUUGCAAUCUCCCUAAUAAAUGUCGGUGUAAAGAGGACCAUGUCCGCAACAAAGUGGGACUCUGUGUAAAACCGAAGCAUUGUUGGUAGAUAUAGGACAUAAAUGAUAUAGAUGUACAUACCUACUGUCAUAUGCUGCGUAUUAUCUUUCCAUUAUA